rfam:Longilinea arvoryzae DNA, scaffold: Larv_scaffold_1, strain: KOME-1.
GGGCGGGACCGGCGCGGCGGAAACCUUCGAACCCCGACAGGUCCGAGAGGAAGCAUCGGUAAGGAGGCCCUUCCGGGCGCCGCCGGCAAACCUGCCCGGU